GUUCAAGCACCACCGGUGUAAUUGACUCAAAUAUCUCACGAGCCUUGGUCGCCUCCGGUUUCCCUUCCCCGUAUCCAAUCUCUUGACCUACCGCCGCCGCCGCCUCCUCUCGCUUCUGAUGCUGCCGCUCCGAUGAAGAUUACCACGCCGCUGUUGCUUAGAUCCCUGGAGAAGGGGAACAGCAGCUGCGCCAAGCGGCAUGCCUCGUCCGAGCCGCAUGGUGGCCGACACAUCGGCGCUUUCAUGGCCGGUCCUGGGCGGUGCCUCGUCAGCGUUGUGGAUGGCUUGGGCAGCGCCUUGGCAUCCAAGAGGGGCGAAGUGGGCCGGCCAGCAUGCGUGGGGUGCAAAGGCCACGAGCAGGAAGGAGAUGCGCUGGAGGUGAUGGAGGAGGAAGUUGGAGGAGGCAUCAGCGUCCAUGGCGACGCCGCCACGGGACCCCCCGUGCACACCUCAGCGUCCAUGGCAGCGCCGCCAUGGGACCCCCCUGCACACCUCGGCAUGCCUCGUCCGUGCCACAUGGUGGCCGAGAUGCGGCCGCCCAUGCUCUGCCGGCGCCGUCUCAUCCUCUUCAUCAAGAGGAGGCAUCUCUGCCGGACGCCCGGACCACGCCUCCCCAUCUACCGCACUGUAAUGGCCACCUCCUGGAUGAGGCUGAGGUGAGCAUCAUGACGACCCGUGGCUGAUACAGAGAGCUCCUCGAACGGGAAGUAGCAGUGCUGGAAGAACUUGAAGAUGAGCAGGUCAAUUUUGGCAUGUCCAGUUAGUUCAGGUGAAUUCAUGGCCAAGAUGGACGGAUUUCUGUUGUGUGGGCUGGAGGUUCUUGAGGUGGAAAUUAGCAACCAGGCUAUAGUCGGUGCAUGGAUGACCAAGUUUACUUAUUACUUUAUGAAGAUGAUGAUUCCUAAAUGGAAUUAGGAGCUAGGUCCAGCAUGUUGAUUGUGCUUCAAGGUUGAAACACGAGAAGAACUAUCUUGCCUGCCUGAAAUUGACAGGAGCUUAGUCUGAAUGUCGAAGAAAUACUGGAAUGUAGGAUGGAAAGGCCAUUGUUUCGACGAGCUGAUGAACAACCUGGGUGUCUAAUUUUAUAUGAGCCAGGGAAAGCAAUUUUAUACCUAACAGCUCUCCCCUGAUUUGGAUCUUUGCUGGCCGUUCGAUCUUGCUCAUUUUGGUCAAUUGUGCCAGUUCGGUCGUCCGAUCCUUGCAUCGUGUUAUCACCAUGCCUAUUUUAUUCUCCUAACUUUGUCAUGGAUUAACAUCAUAUUACUAAUUUUUUGUGUUGAACUAACCAAUUUAACAAUCAAAAUUGCUGGCCUUGCAUCAACUGUUGUUGUUCUGCUAGCCAUAGGCUGCCCCUCAGGUUCAUAAUUCUAAGCUUGGACCAUGUGGCCCACCUUAACCAAUGCAGGUUGAUGACUCCGUGCGGUUGCUAGGGGCACAGGUUGUGCUGAUAAAAGUCCAUGAAUUUUUUAUUAGCAUCAUUAUUUUUCAAUUUGAUCUAUUGUUUUCUAGCUUUUCUUGUGUAUCAACUUCCAUAUAUGGUACUGUUUGUCAAGCAUUACUAUUGUUCUCACUUAGAAUUUUUUCUUUUCUUCUUUGCUACUUUAUAUUUAGAUGCUCAAGAAAUUUGGGAAGUAUCAUAGUGGUUCGGGCCUUGGUGCUACAUGAGACACAAGCACCUUCAAAGUACAUGUGUGUAUUAUGGAUAUUAGUGCUUUUGCUCAUUCUAAUUUUUUACUUAAGGUGGUUACAUUUUCUUACUUUUUUGCUGAAAAAGAGUGAAUUCAGUCAUGAACAUGCAUUGAUAUAUUUAUUGUUAGUUUAUCUUCGUGUUAUCGGUAUGCUUUUGAUGGCUGCAACCUGAACCAAUUAUAUCACUAUUCCCAUCUUACUUAGUGGCAUUGCUAUGCUUCACAGUAUACAAUGUUUUGCAUGCCAGUAUAAUUCAUAAGUGGUUUUCGUAUUUAGGUGUUAUUAAUAUGGUGAGUGAUUGAAGGGGAGGCAUGAGGAGAAGAGCAGUCCAAAGGGCGGAUGGAGCAUGUCACUUGUUGAUGUUCUUUCCAUUUCCGGACAGAACAACUUUUCUAUGAUUUGGGUGUAUGUUGAUGUGUGAAAGUCAAUCAUUUGGAUUCCCAACUAGACUAUUGUGUGUGUUUAAUGUUUUAUUGUGCAUUGAUAAAAUGUUUCACUGCCCGUGUUAGAUGAAAGGACAACACGGCAUAAGGGAGUUUGCCCUUUAGGAAGGUUCUUGUUUGCUGCUGUGAUUAAAAUUAGGAAAUUUAUAUACCUAUAGCAGGAUAGUUGCUCAAGCUCAAGUCUUAUGUAACAUGUAACAUCUGAACUAUGUUUGUGCUAAUAAUUUUUUCCAUUGAAAAAGGCCAUGUUGCACAA